AUCGUUCAUUCACUUAAUUGUGAACGGAAGUAAGUGUAGUACGCUGAAGGAACGCAUC
ncrna:unclassified sequences Glutamine riboswitch